AAUACUAUGACUGAUUUAAAGUGAUAAAUUGUAAAUUUAUUUAUGAAAGUUAUUUUUCUAGUAUUA
rnacentral:tRNA from 3 species